rnacentral:rRNA from 1 species
AGAGUUUGAUCCUGGCUCAGGACGAACGCUGGCGGCGUGCUUAACACAUGCAAGUCGAACGGAAAGGCCCUGCUUUUGUGGGGUGCUCGAGUGGCGAACGGGUGAGUAACACGUGAGUAACCUGCCCUUGACUUUGGGAUAACUUCAGGAAACUGGGGCUAAUACCGGAUAGGAGCUCCUGCUGCAUGGUGGGGGUUGGAAAGUUUCGGCGGUUGGGGAUGGACUCGCGGCUUAUCAGCUUGUUGGUGGGGUAGUGGCUUACCAAGGCUUUGACGGGUAGCCGGCCUGAGAGGGUGACCGGCCACAUUGGGACUGAGAUACGGCCCAGACUCCUACGGGAGGCAGCAGUGGGGAAUAUUGCACAAUGGGCGGAAGCCUGAUGCAGCAACGCCGCGUGCGGGAUGACGGCCUUCGGGUUGUAAACCGCUUUCGCCUGUGACGAAGCGUGAGUGACGGUAAUGGGUAAAGAAGCACCGGCUAACUACGUGCCAGCAGCCGCGGUAAU